GGUGCGAUGGCCGAGUGGUUAGGCACAGGUCUGCAAAACCUGCUACAGCGGUUCGAUUCCGCUUCGCACCUCCA
rnacentral:tRNA from 1 species